rnacentral:rRNA from 1 species
GUGGGGAAUAUUGCUCAAUGGGCGAAAGCCUGAUGCAGCAACGCCGCGUGAGGGACGACGGCCUUCGGGUUGUAAACCUCUUUUAGUAGGGAAGAAGCGAAAGUGACGGUACCUGCAGAAAAAGCACCGGCUAACUACGUGCCAGCAGCCGCGGUAAUACGUAGGGUGCAAGCGUUAUCCGGAAUUAUUGGGCGUAAAGAGCUCGUAGGCGGUCUGUCGCGUCUGCUGUGAAAACUGGAGGCUCAACCUCCAGCCUGCAGUGGGUACGGGCAGACUAGAGUGCGGUAGGGGAGAUUGGAAUUCCUGGUGUAGCGGUGGAAUGCGCAGAUAUCAGGAGGAACACCGAUGGCGAAGGCAGAUCUCUGGGCCGUAACUGACGCUGAGGAGCGAAAGCGUGGGGAGCGAACAGGAUUAGAUACCCUUGUAGUCC